rnacentral:antisense_RNA from 1 species
GAAAGGUGUGGCCACGAGAAUCUAGAGGAAACCAACUCGCAAGUCGCUGGAGCUGAAGGGCUAGUAGUCAGGCCGAAUCUCGCGAGAAUUGGAACUAUUUCAGACCCAGAGCACGAUAGUGGCGGAGGCGAACUUUGCCCGGUAGUUUUUACUGAUUGGGGUGCUGGCGCGCGCCUUUUUCUCGGCCAGAAUACAAUUAUUGGGAUAGUCUUUUCUUCUACCUCAGCCCCACUUCUGUGGUCGUAAUAAGUUUAGCUUGGGUUUGCCGUGAAGUAAGAAGACUGACUUCCGCAAACGUACUGAACGACUGGGUGUAGGUGCUAGGGCAUGGACGUGAAGCUGGGGCCGCGAAAUGAGUUAGUUGUGGGCCGCUGGCCUCAAGGAGCGAAUGUCAGCGCGAAGAGGAGAAGCUUGUGCAUACGCUCUGAUAAGGGUUUUAAUAGAGAGACGGAAUCUCGCUGUGUCACCCAGGCUGGAAUGCAGUGACUCGAUCAUAACUCACUAUGACCUCGAACUCCCAGGCUAAACAGUCCUCAAGCAAUCCUUCCACCUCAGCCUCCUGAGUAGCUGGGAGUAGCUGAUUAACUAAUGUGUGCCACCACGCCCAGCUAACUUGUGUAUGUGUGUGCAUGUGUGUGCACGCAUGUAGAGCUAGGGGUCUUGCUAUGUUGCUCAGGCUAGUCUUGAACUCCUGGCCUCAAGCAGUCUUCUCGCCUUGACCUCUCAAACCAGUGGGACUGUAGGUGUGAGCCACUGCUCCUGGCUGAGCACUGUUUUUUUAGGACAGAGACUGUAUUCAUUGUUGCAAUCUUCAGCUUUUGGAACAUCGUCUAGGACAGAGAAGCUGCACAAUAUGUAUUUAUCGAAUGAGUGAAUGAUACUUUUGGGAGAGAAGACAGUGGGUUGGAGAAAUAUCUUGGAAGAAUUGGAAAUUUUAGGUGGACCUUGAAGAAAAGGUAAAAUUCAAUUAGGACACAAGCAGUGAUCAAAAGCAUUGAGUUGGGAACAAAGUGGUAGGAUGUGGGAGUUAGUAUGCAGUGAAAAAAACUAAAAUAUAGAAAGAGAUUAUGUGUUUAAUAGAAAUAGGAUUGACUAAAGUGAAUCCACAUUGUAUCUGUAAGAGGUCCAUCGUUGAACUUUAUUGUUUUUGUUUUGUUUUUGAGACAGGGUCUCACUCUUAUCUAGGCUGGAGUGCAGUGGCACAAUCUCAGCUCACUGCAGUCUCAGCCUGCCAGGUUCAAGUGAUUCUCCUGCCUCAGCCUCCCAUGUAGGGAUUACAGGCCUGCACCACCACACCUGGAUAAUUUUUGUGUUUUUAGUACAGACGGGAUUUCACCAUGUUGGCCAGGCUUGUCUCGAACUCCUGACUUCAAGUGAUCCACCUGCCUCGGCCUUCCAGAGUGCUGGGAUUACAGGCCUGAGCCACUGCACCCAGCCACCUGUAUUUAUUUUUGAGACGGGGUCUUGUUCUGUCUCCUUGGCUGGAGUGCAGUGGUGCAAUCAUGGCUCACUGCAGCCUUGACUUCCCAGGCUCAAUGAAUCAUCUCACCUCAGUCUCCUGAGUACAGGGACUACAGGUGUGCACCACCAUACCUGGCUAAUGUUUGUAUUUUUUGUAGAGAUGGUGUUUCGCCAUCUUGCCCAAUCUGGUCUCAAACUCCUGGCCUCAAGUGAUCCACCCGUCUAGGCCUCCUACAGUGCUGGGAUUACAGGGUUGAGCCACCACACCCAGCCUCAUGGUUGAACUUUAGGAGAGCCACACAUCUCCUGAUGAUACAUGCAAAACUUCAUGCGUCCAUUUUUUUCUAAGUUGAAGUUUCAUAGUUUUCAUCCAAUUCUCAAAGGUGUUUAUAAACCAAUAAAGGUUAAAAAUCAUGUUGUGCAUUUGAAAGACUAAUAGAAAGGCUUAAGCUUAAUGCUGUAGCAAAUUAGUCUUCAAAAGUUUUCUACUAUAGCAUUCAUUAGGAACAGAAGAGAGGGAAUGAGACCCUAAAAUUUAGAGAUGAAGUCUGAAACUUAGGACUUUAUAUUUAUCUGAACAUCAUAUGUAAAUUUUACUAUUAUGGGACCGGUAUUAAUGCUUCCUUAUAAAAAUAUAUUUAGCCUCAUCAGUGAUCAGGGAACCAUAUUUGGGACCAGUCUGUUCAGUUGGCACAAAUUAAAAAGGCCGUCAUAUC